GAUUUGUUGAAUAACAUAGUCAUGUCUCGCUCCUUGGCUCUCCCUCUCUACCCCUCACCCCGUCUCUCUCCGUGUCUCUAUCUCAUUUUCUACAAGUCUUACUCAGAUCUGUUGUGCCGGCAGUGACCCCAAACGGUUCAAGUUUUUGAUGUCGGCGUUGACCUCUCUGCUUGAUUUAACAACAAUUUACCUUAUAAAGAGGUGCCAAGUUCAGAGCCAAGGGGUCUCAUCUUUCUCUGCCAUGGUUAUGAUAUGGAGUGUAGUAUCUUUGUGAAAGGGAUUUGGCUUGCGAAAGCAAGAUAUGCAGUUCAUGGUAUCCACUAUCAUGGUCAUGGGAAGCUACUGAUAAGUGUCUUGUCAUGUAUUUUGUUG